rnacentral:tRNA from 1 species
GCCGACUUAGCUCAAUUGGCAGAGCAACGGUAUCGUAAACCGUAGGUUGGAGGUUCGAUUCCUCUAGUCGGCACCA